GAGGUUGAUCCCUGGCUCAGAAUCAACGCUGGCGGCGUGCCUAACACAUGCAAGUCGCACGAGAAAAGAGACUUCGGUCUUGAGUAAAGUGGCGCACGGGUGAGUAACACGUGAAUAAUCUACCCUCGAGUGGGGAAUAACCUAGAGAAAUCUGGGCCAAUACCGCAUAACACUUACGAGUCAAAGCAGCAAUGCGCUUGGGGAGGAGUUCGCGGCCGAUUAGCUAGUUGGCGGGGUAAUGGCCCACCAAGGCGAUGAUCGGUAUCCGGCCUGAGAGGGCGCACGGACACACUGGAACUGAAACACGGUCCAGACUCCUACGGGAGGCAGCAGUGGGGAAUUUUGCGCAAUGGGGGAAACCCUGACGCAGCAACGCCGCGUGGAGGAUGAAGUAUCUUGGUACGUAAACUCCUUUCGACGGGGAAGAUAAUGACGGUACCCAUAGAAGAAGCCCCGGCUAACUUCGUGCCAGCAGCCGCGGUAAUACGAGGGGGGCAAGCGUUGUUCGGAAUUAUUGGGCGUAAAGGGUGCGUAGGCGGUUCAGCAAGUCUUGUGUGAAAUCUUCGGGCUCAACCCGAAGUCUGCAUAGGAAACUACUGGGCUUGAGUAUUGGAGAGGUGAGUGGAAUUUCCGGUGUAGCGGUGAAAUGCGUAGAUAUCGGAAGGAACACCUGUGGCGAAAGCGGCUCACUGGACAAUAACUGACGCUGAUGCACGAAAGCUAGGGGAGCAAACAGGAUUAGAUACCCUGGUAGUCCUAGCCCUAAACGAUGAUUGUUUGAUGUGGCAGGUACCCAAUCCUGCCGUGUCGAAGCUAACGCGAUAAACAAUCCGCCUGGGGAGUACGGUCGCAAGGCUGAAACUCAAACGAAUUGACGG
rnacentral:rRNA from 1 species